UUUGAUAUUUUACAUCCAGAUGAGCUACCAUAAACUCAAACAGAUGGGACCUUGUUAAAUAUCUCAUUUGAAUGACAACAUACUCAGAAAUAUGGCACCGUCCCCUAUUAUGCUUCACUGCAGUCAACAAUCCAUCUAUCUGGUAUGGGAAUAGAACUUUCAUCCUUCUGCACCAAAGUUUACAGACAUAACAAGAAAGUAAAAAAGGAAAAUGGGCAGCUACUUCAUCAAAUAGAAGCGCGGCAAGCACUGGAAAGACCUAGAAACACUCAGCUCCGACUGCAACUUGUGCAAGUAAGAAGGAAAUAAUUCUGGAAUAUUUAGCAUUUAUAUUUUAACAUCUGGCAACAUCAGAUAUGGAUUAAAAAUACAUACAGGACUUAAUUCUCUCAAGUAGAUACCGCCUUAUUUACUUUUUGGAAGACAGCCAAGAGAACAUUGCAGGUAUAAAAUUGAAGAACACGCCACAACACAAAAGUGCAUAUUUAACCCCUUUUUCCCAUUUUUUACACACGGGAUCAGAGUGUCACCUCAACAGUAAAAAUCAUAUAGUGCCAAGGUUCGAACCACUGGGUAUAUCCAGUAAAUGGAUACAAACGGAAAGCAAUGUAUACAUGUUCAGCUCUUCAUUUUAUUUGCUUGUCUUUUGUUUCAUAUUCUGUCAUUGUUACUAUUCAAUGUUUUUAUGCAUCACUGUUACUUUGUCUUUGAAAUAAUUACAAGAGUUAAAGUUAUAAGUGAUAUGUAACUACAGAAGUUUCUAGGGCUUAUUUCAGGCUACUGUUAGUGAAGAGUUUAUUAGAGAAUUCAUUAUUUUUAUCUGCAUCUUUUGUUGUUUAAUUGAAUUUUGACUGAUUUUGAAUUUUAACAUUUGUGCAUUCUAAAUAUUCAUUUGCUAAUAUACAUAUUUAUUAGUAUGAUAAUUUAAAUUCCUAAGCAUUUUCCCUGUUAAUGUGCCAGCAACCUAAUAAACCAUUAUAUAUUAUACAACAUUUAAAACAUUAUAUAAAGAAUAUCGUGUUAAACAAAUAAAUGGGCUAGCUUACAUUUCUCCUGUUAAAGAUGGCA